rnacentral:rRNA from 1 species
CCCUUAGAUGUUCUGGGCCGCACGCGUGCUACACUGACCGGCGCAACAAGUUUCUUUCCUUGGCUCGAUAGGCCUGGGUAAUCUUUGAACGCCGGUCGUGAUGGGGAUAGAUCCUUGCAAUUUUUGAUCUUCAACGAGGAAUUCCUAGUAAAUGCGAGUCAUCAUCUCGCGUUGAUUACGUCCCCGCCCUUUGUACACACCGCCCGUCGCACCUACCGAUUGAAUGGUCCGGUGAAGCCUCGGGAUUGCGAAUGCUUCGUGCGGACGCGAGAACUUGGCUAAACCUUACCAUUUAGAGGAAGGUGAAGUCGUAACA